rnacentral:rRNA from 1 species
CAGACCGAUAGCGAACAAGUAGAGUGAUCGAAAGAUGAAAAGCACUUUGAAAAGAGAGUUAAAAAGCACGUCAAAUUGUUGAAAGGGAAGCGCUUGCGACCAGACUCGCCCGCGGGGUUCAGCCGGCAUUCGUGCCGGUGUACUUCCCCGCGGGCGGGCCAGCGUCGGUUUGGGCGGCCGGUCAAAGGCCCCCGGAAUGUAGCACCCUUCGGGGUGCCUUAUAGCCCGGGGUCCAAUCCUUCCAGCCUUUACCAGGAACGCGUUCGGCACGGA